rnacentral:rRNA from 1 species
GCAGGGUGCGAGCGUUAAUCGGAAUUACUGGGCGUAAAGCGUGCGCAGGCGGCUUCGCAAGUCAGACGUGAAAUCCCAGGGCUUAACUUGGGAAUUGCGCUUGAAACUACGUGGCUAGAGUGUGGCAGAGGGAGGUGGAAUUCCACGUGUAGCGGUGAAAUGCGUAGAGAUGUGGAGGAACACCAAUGGCGAAGGCAGCCUCCUGGGCCAACACUGACACUCAUGCACGAAAGCGUGGGGAGCAAACAGGAUUAGAUACCCUGGUAGUCCACGCCCUAAACGAUGAUGACUAGUAGUUGGAGGAGUUAAAUCCUUUAGUAAUGCAGCUAACGCGUGAAGUCAUCCGCCUGGGGAGUACGGUCGCAAGAUUA